CAUUAGAUGGCUGAAAGUAAGUACUGGUCUCUUAAACCAUUUUAUAAUAGAUUAACAACUAUUUCUAAUG
rnacentral:tRNA from 1 species